AUUUUCAGGUACAAAAACAACUUCAAAAAACAGGGCUGGGGAUCCCUGAACGGUUCCUGUUGCCGACCUUCACUAAAAGCAUCACUUUAUAAGCUGACCAAAUCUGUUCAGGUUGCUGCACCAAGUUAAGGUUGCACCAGCAGUAAGAAGCAGAUCUUCGAUGAAGCUUCUGCUCACGUCAUCCAAAGCCUGAAAAGUGAUGUGGCUUCUCAGUAAAGGCCCUGCACACAGCGUGCAAAUUGCUCCCGUUUUCCCUUGAGCUCUGCUGUCCCUGCUUGCUCCCUCCCUGCCUUCACACUCUGCACCGACUCCAGCUAUCAGCACCUGCACCAGAUGCCUCCUCCCCUGAAGGUUUCGUCUCUCACUCACUGCUGUUUCCCUCUGGCAGAACAGGCGCUGCUUCGGCUCUGAACACCCAACAGGUCUGUGCUCAUCUGCACCCGUUUGCAGGACAGCCUCCUUACAGCUCUGCCCCACUUACAGCAAUGAUGGCCUGCUGGGCAGCGUCGCUGUGCACCAGCUUUGCCUUCUCAAGGGCUUUUUCAAAGUUCGUAAUUGCAGACCGGUAAUCCUUCAAUUUUUCUGUAUCAAACAAAUGAAAACAUCGAUUGGAACCCAAGAUAAAGAGAACAGCAGAGAACAAGCAGGGCUCCUGCCAGAGACCCGAGCCUGAAGGCUGUGGAGUUUUCACUCCGGUGCCCAACAGGCCGGCAGCUUCCACACCCUGACAUCCAUACCUUGAGCCUGCGCCAGCAGCACACUGGCGUGGAGCUGCCACUCCGCAUCCCCCGCCUCCAGCGCUGACUGCAGGGAUUUCUCUCCGUAGUUCUGAGCUUCUUCUGCCCUCCCGAGCUCAAGGUAGCAGCGGCCAACCUCGUGGAACAGCCACGUCUUCUCCAGGCUGGAUUUUGCCAAUGGGAUUUUCUCCUCCCAGCUUCAAGCAGAGAGUAAGAAAGACAGAUUUUAGUGCAGCUAUCAUUCCAGUCACAGAAUCUAUAAACAAAGGGCUCCAGUUGUUGGUAUGAAGACAUUCACAGCUGUCUUGCUAGCAGAACAAACUGAAAGCACAGUAUUUAACUGAAACCCCACCUUACGCCUUCCUCUGAUUUACGUACGUGUCGAUGGCUUGCUGGAAUUUGCCAGUCCUGGCAUAAACUCUGCCAAUGUUGUCGAGAGCUCUGGACACGGCGUCAGGGAGAUUGCUGUGCAGAAAGGGAGAGGUUGCAGUGGUUGAAGCAGCCUUUAUUGCUGGCAGCCUGAUCUUCAACCCGUCUGUAUUCUGCAGUGCCCAGCAUAACAUAAAGGGUUGGGAAGUAGAGGUGAAGGACCAGUGCCAGGCUGGGAGUCAUCAAACCAAAGUAAAUGUCCUCACUCCCAGCUUUGGAACCGGUUUGCCGUGAUCAUCUGUGUCGUACAAGUGAAAAAGCUGAUGAGAGCAGAGCAGCAGCGCGGCUCUGUUUGCUCUGCCGCUCCUUAACAGCCACCAGAGGGCGAAUGCUGCUCGGCAACGGCUGCGCUCCGGUCCUACAAGGGCAGCCUUCAACGGGCUUGAAAAAGCAGCACCACGCGUCUCAUUGCUGCCCGCUGCUGCCCCGGGUCUGACCUUCCCGAGGAGGAAGCGCACAAUGGGGCUGCAGUGCUGAGCCUGGGAUUUGUGCACUCUUUUGCUUUGCUUCAACACGCAUUUUGGCACGCCACGUGUGCUGGAGCCUUUAAAAAUCUGCUUAAGUCAUUUGUUUUUGAAAUGGUGAAGACCCCUGCGUGUGGGCAGAGCCCAAAUGCGCUGCCCUGCUACAUCUUCAGAUGAGAUUUACGCUACCUGAUGCUAAAAACAGAGCAACUUUCCUCCCCCAUCAGAAUUUCUCAGCACUUACUUCUGCCUGGCAAACUCCAGAUCCAUUUUGUGGCUUUUCAGGGCUGCCUCCAUCCGCCCCAUCUCAAACUGAGCAUUCCCAAUGCAGCUGUGGAGGUUCCCAAUCAGCUCCUUCUUGUUGGGAACUUCAUCCUCUGACCAUCCUUGUAUCGUUUUCAGCACACGCUCAGCUUUCCUGCAGCUCUCUUUGGGGCAGUCUCCAGUCAGCACUGAGGACAGAGAGGAGCAGAGUGCAGCUGUGCAGACGCAGCGACACGGGGAGGGAAGGCCAGCAGUUUUGUCAGCCUCACAGGCAGCCUGGGAAGGGCUUCAGCUCCUCGCUCCGCAGGCACAUCCUGCAACCCUUCAUUCAGCCUGCAGGAACUCCCUGCUGCUGUGUGACAAUGCUUGUGUCGCACCGCAGCUCUGGUCUGUAUUUGCUACAGCAAGUGGCCACAAGCGCCACUCAUCGCUUUCUUACUGUUCCCAGCCAGGACACGCACACAUGUCGAUGUCCUCCAUGCUCUGCACAAUGAAUCUGGCCACCUCGGCUGGUUUGGGUUUCUUCUCCCGGAUCCACUUCUGCUGCCUGAGCCUGCGCUCCCUCACACGGGCGUAGAUGGGCUUCUGCUGCUGCCAGAACUCGGCGCGCGCGUCCAGGUAGGCGAUGCCACCCAGCACCACGUCCUCCACUUUGACGCCCUGCUUUGUGACGCUCCUCAUCAAAUCUGAAAAUAGGGGGGCAGAAGAGGAGAGUGCAGUGUACACAGCGGGUGAAGCCUCAGGUCACUGGGCUUGUGAACGUCCUGCUCUGACAGAGAGAGCUGGAAAUUCAGGCUCCAGUGCUCCUCAGAGCGGGUUUGACUGGGAGGGGAGUUCCAGAAAUUCUCCUUGGGAGCAAAAACUGCUGUGUUUGGGGCUGGCUGUGGCGUGUGCCUGUCCUGGGCAGAGCACAUGGAUGGGACACCUGCACUCAGAUGGCACUGAAAACAGUGGGGAGAUGGAGAGGAGCAUUACAUGCCUGGAAACUAGAUGGCUCAUGUAUUACUAUACUAAUGCUGGCAAUAGCACAAAACUUAUGAUUAGACUAAAUUCUUAAUUACUGCUCUGUUACCAAGUAAAUGGUUUCCUAGAAGGAGGAAAAAAAAAGAUUAAAUGGAAAUCACCUUUCUGCCUAUUUCUAAAAUAAGGUCCUUUGUGAAUCCUGUAUCUUGUUCCUAACAGUGCGUUUAACAAAGCCACAGGUGAGGAAGUGCCACCAGCAAUGCUUUGCUCUUAAUGCAGAUGUUAGUGGAAUCAACAUCAUGUCAGGAAUGGAGUGAUUUAUAAUGCUGACUUCCUCAACACAGAUGGCUGUGAUUGAAAGGAGGAAACAUUCAGAGGCAGCUCUGAAUAUUGGAUUUGGCUCCAAAGACACCUGAACUCUGCAGACAUCUGCAUCUCUCUGACACUGCCAGCCCUACGUGAGCUGUGAGACAAACACGAGCAGAAUAUAAGAAUAUAAAGAAUAUAAUAAUAAGAAUAUGAGAGAAGGAAAGAAGAUCCUGCUUAGAAGGAACAUUUAUCUGAAAACAAUGGAGAAAACCUUCAUCCUUCAGCAGCUUUUCUAGGUAGGCCUUGUCAGCAUAGAGCUCUCCAAGAAGCUGCCGCUCUGUUUUCUGAUUCCUUGCAGGUUCCUGUUUCUUUGUGCACUUUUGGUCCUUGGUCAGUUUGAUUUGGAGUUUCUGAUCUGCUUUUUUGCUCUACAGCAAGAAAAAAAUAGAGUAAGUGAGGCGGGAUUGCUGGAGAACCUGGGAUUAUCGGUGAGGCCUGGCUUCCAGAACUGCUGACCCUCUGUGUAGGCCAAGUUCCCUUAAAUAAAAGCAAGUCCCUGUCUCACAAAGA